rnacentral:tRNA from 2 species
GGAAGGGUGGCAGAGCGGUUGAAUGCAUCGGUUUUGAAAACCGACGUAGCUUUACGGCUACCGAGGGUUCGAAUCCCUCCUCUUCCG